rnacentral:rRNA from 1 species
GGGCAAUGGGCGCAAGCCUGACCCAGCAACGCCGCGUGAAGGACGAAGGCCUUCGGGUUGUAAACUUCUUUUUGGGGGGAAAAGAAAGGAUGGUACCCCCAGAAUCAGUCACGGCUAACUACGUGCCAGCAGCCGCGGUAAUACGUAGGUGACGAGCGUUAUCCGGAAUUACUGGGCGUAAAGCGCACGCAAGCGGUUGGACAAGUCUGGCGUGAAAUCCUCUGGCUUAACCAGGGGCGGUCGCUGGAAACUGUCGAGCUAGAGGCGAUGAGAGGGGUGCAGAAUUCCCGGUGUAGUGGUGGAAUGCGUAGAGAUCGGGAGGAAUACCAGUGGCGAAAGCGGCACCCUGGCGUCGUACUGACGCACAUGUGCGAAAGCGUGGGGAGCGAACGGGAUUAGAUACCCCGGUAGUCCACGCGGUAAACGAUGAACACUAGGUGUGGGUGGAGUCCAUCUGUCCGUGCCAAAGCCAACGCGUUAAGUGUUCCGCCUGGGAAGUACGGCCGCAAGGCUA